UUUUUUUUUUUUUUUUUUUUUUUUGUAGAAUGUGUUGGAGCCUAUAUGACUAUCAGGCUGCAACAAACAGCUAUGGGAAGGGGUUAACAUACUUGAAAAAUAGGGAAACCACAAAUCAAAACCAAAAAAUGCAUUCAGAAUAACUAAAAAGAAGAGGACAUAAGCAUAAAAUAAAAGGAAAUCAUCGAACCAAAACAGGAAAGGAACAAAGGUGAAAAACAGAAUCAAUUGGAAAACAAAGUUUAAAAUGUCAAUAAAUACAUGUUUAUCAAUAAUUACCUUAAAUGUCAAUAGAUUGUUCUAAUCAAAAGACCAGAAUGACAGAAUGGAUUAAAAAAAAUAAGAGUGUAACAAUAUGCUGCCUACAAGAAACAUACCUUAGGGCAAAGGACAUAUAUAAAUUGAAAGUGAGGGGAUAGAAAAAGAAAUUUCAUGCAAAUGGAAAUGUCAGGAAAGCAAGAGUUGAAAUACUCAUAUCAGACAAAAAAGACUUUAAAACAAAGGCCAUAAGGAAAGAAAGAAGGAUGCUAUUUAAUAUUAAAAGGACCACUUCAAGAAGAGGAUCUUACACUCAUCAAUACAUAUGCCCCUUAUAUCAAAGCACCUAAAAUAUAUACAACAAAUGGUAAUAGACAUAAAAGAAGAAACUGAUGGAGGAAUUCCCAUCGUGGCUCAGUGGAAAUGAAUUUGACUAGCAUCCAUGAGGACACAGGUUUGAUCCCUGGCCUCGUUCAGUGGGUUAAGGAACCGGCGUUGCUAUGAGCUGUGGUGAAAGUCACAGAUGUGGCUCAGAUUCUGCAUUGCUGUGGCUGAGGUGUAAGGUAGUGGCUAUAUUUGAUUUGACCCCUAGCAUGGGAACCUCCAUAUGCCAUGGGUGCUAAAAAGAUUAAAAAGAAGAAGAGAAAGAAGAAACUGAUGGUAAUACAGUAAUAGUAUAAGACUUUAACACCCUACUUAUAUCAAUGGAUAGAUCCUCUAGACAGAAAAUCAAUAAGGCAACAGAGAUCCUAAAUGACACAAUAAAACAUUUAGACUUAACUGAUAUUUUUGGGACACAACAUCAAAAAAAAUCAGAAUAUACAUUCUUUUCACAUGCACACGGAACAUUCUCAAGGACUGACCACAUACUAGAGUAGAGAAAUUAUUUCAAGCCUCUUCUCUUGACCACAAUGGCAUGAAACUAGAAAUCAACCACAGGAAAAGAAAUGAGAAAAAAACUGACCACAUGGAGACUAAACAACAUGCUACUAAAACAACAAAGGAAAAUGAGGAAAUUAAAAGGGACACUACAAAAUAUCUCUAAACAAAUGACAAUGAAAACUAAACCAUUUAGGAAUUCCUGUUGUGGCUCAGCAGGUUACAAACACAACUUAUACACAUGAAGAUGCAGGUUUGAUCCCAGGCCUUACUCAAUGGGUUGAGGAGCCAGCGAUGCUGGAAGCUGUGGUGUAGGUGGCUCGGAUCUGGCACUGCUAUGGCUGUGGUGGAGGCCAGCAGCUACAGCUCUGAUUUGACCUCUAGCCUGGGAACUUCCAUAUGCCGCAGGUGCAUGCUUAAAAAAAAAAAAAAGGAGAGAGAGAGAAAAGAUGAAGAAAAAAAAGGAGACAUCUCAAUGGAUAUUGUAGAUAUAACAAAAAAAAUAAGAGAAUAGUAUGAACAAUUACAUGGCAACAAAUGUGACAACCUAAAAGAAAUGGACAAAUUUCUAGAGACUUACAGCCCACCAAAACUGAAUCAAGAAGAAAUAUAUCACUGAGCAGAAUAAUAACUAGAAAUGAAACUGAAUAUGUAAUAAAAACCCUCCCUACAAACAAAAGCCCAGAACCAGAUGGCUUCACAAGUGAAAUCUACCAAACAUACAGGUAAGAACUUAUACUCAUCCUUCUUAGACUUUUCUAAAAAAUUGAAAAAGAAGAAACACUCUCAAAGACAUUCUAUGAAGCCACCAUCACCUUAAUACUAAAACCAGAUAAAGAUACUAGCAAAAAGGAAAAUUAUAAGCCAAUAUUUUUUAUGAAUAUAGAUGCAAAAACUUUCACCAAAUUCUAGUCAACCGAGCCCAGUAACAUAUAAAAGAGAUCUUACACCAUGAACAAGUGAGAUUCAUCCUAAGUUCACAAGGAUGGUUAAACAUACACAAAUCAAUCAAUGGCAUACACCACAAUAGCAAAAGGAAAGUCAAAAACCACAAGAUCAUCCCAAUAGAUGCAGAAAAAGUAUUUGACAAAAUCCAACAUCCAUUCAUGAUAAAAACCCUUACUAAGGUAGGUAGAGAGAGAAUAUCACUUACAUAAUAAAAGCCAUGUAUGACAAACCCACAGCCAAUAUAAUACUCAGUAGAGAAAAGCUGAAUGUGGAAGUCCUAGCCACAGCAAUCAGACAAACAAAAAAAUAAAAUCUAUCCAAAUUAGAAGAGAAGGAAUAAAACUGAGUUCCUGUCGUGGCGCAGUGGUUAACGAAUCUGACUAGGAACCAUGAGGUUGCAGGUUCAAUCCCUGGCCUUGCUCAGUGGGUUAAGGAUCUGGCGUUGCCAUGAGCUGUGGUGUAGGUCGCAGACGCUGCUUGGAUCCCAUGUUGCUGUGGCUCUGGCGUAGGCCAGCGGCUACGGCUCCAAUUGGACCCCUAGCCUGGGAACCUCCAUAUGCUGCAGGAGUGGCCCUAGAAAAG
rnacentral:lncRNA from 1 species